AGAAAAACUUGUUGGAAAUGUGAUGCUUUCUUGGUUAGUUUGGAAAAGGGACAAAUUUUGUUCUGUUGAUCCUUGAGCUCUGCAGUGCAAACCAACAGAAACAGCAUUUAAGACAUCAGCUUGGGUUUUGAUGUUGUGCACUCACAAUUGUACAUAGGAUGGAAGGAGAGGCAGGAUUGGAGCCCAGCAGGCGCUGCAAAAACAUGUAAUGAGAAACGGAGUAAAACCAAGUGUGGGAGGAAAUCUCUUCCAGGUCUGCAGAGUUAGAGCAGAAUGAAUGAAGGAAAGUGUAUCGGUCCAUGUAAAUUGUGUGAGGCACCAUUUCUCCAAAACGGCAUUUGUUCAAUGUUAAGAUAACCAAAUACAGCACUCUGAAGCUAAGAAAUGACAGAAAUUAGUUUUCAGGUUAUGACCAUUUUUGUAUGUCGUUGCCAAAGUGAUUUAACUUGCACAGCCAUGCUCCAUGAAUGGGUAAUGGUGGAUGCUGGACACAUCUCCUGCAUGCAGCUUUUAUUGAUUUGUCAGAAUUUUACUCUGUACUGUUAGCUGUAGGCAGAACAUAGAUCAGUGUCACCUGAAUGGAAGUCUUCAGAGGUUAACAGCUGAACCAAAUUCACUUCAUGUGUUAAAACAGGUUCUUUUUUAGUGAAAGAGAUAGUUUGUGUUUUAGUGAACUUCCUCAUGAAAACCUGCACUGCUGGAGCUCUGUCUGCAAAAUCUCUCUCAUCUGCAAACCAAGGGGACUCUUGGAGCCAGCUUUGCAAGAUCAAGCCCUCAACUGCAGAGUGAAGCGGCAGAAAUAAUUUGAGAAAAGAAAAAAACAAUCCGAGCUCAUAACCCUGAGACAAAUUCUGUGGCUUUUGAGAAGAGUGAAUCCUCCCAAAGACCUGACAGAGAAUGUUCCAUCACCGUGAUAAUGUGGAGUUGCCCUUAAUUUCCCUUUGCUAGGGCUUUUAUCUGUAUUAAUUAUGGAUCUUCCUCCAUUUCCCUGAGAUCUUAAUAAAUUACAGAUCUUCCCUGAUAUUCAACCUACCCAGUUUUCCUUUAUCUGAUCCUAUUACCCCUCCUUGUUGAAGUUUGUUUUCCUUUUGCUAAGUUAAAAAUUGGAGAACACCUUUUCAGGAUUGGCUCCCAGUGUGCCUGAGCAGCUUAGGUAGGUAAUUCACAGGCGGGCAAGGUGACUGUUUAUCAGAAAGGCAAUGGCUCAAGUGUUUACAGAUUCUCCAGAUUUAACCUUGAUCCAUGGUUUUCCAUUUUGGAUAUGUUUCAGGCUGAUUUUCCUUUGUUUUUGUGAGAUUCAGCCAAGAAAGGCCAAGUGGGGUUAAAGGAAAGCAUGCUGUUUAGCCAUACAAAAAAUAAUCAUCAUCAUCAUCUUGUCAUGGUGUUCUGAGAAAUACCAGUGUUCCUUGCUUUAGAGUUGGAAUUUGCUACUGUCACAGAUGUGUCGUUUGCUAUUUCUACUAA